AUUGAACGCUGGCGGCAUGCCUUACACAUGCAAGUCGAACGGUAACGCGGGGCAACCUGGCGACGAGUGGCGAACGGGUGAGUAAUAUAUCGGAACGUGCCCAGUAGUGGGGGAUAGCCCGGCGAAAGCCGGAUUAAUACCGCAUACGACCUACGGGUGAAAGGCGGGGGAUCGCAAGACCUCGCGCUAUUGGAGCGGCCGAUAUCAGAUUAGGUAGUUGGUGGGGUAAAGGCCUACCAAGCCUACGAUCUGUAGCUGGUCUGAGAGGACGACCAGCCACACUGGGACUGAGACACGGCCCAGACUCCUACGGGAGGCAGCAGUGGGAAGUUUUGGACAAUGGGCGCAAGCCUGAUCAGCCAUGCCGCGUGCGGGAAGAAGGCCUC
rnacentral:rRNA from 1 species